rnacentral:lncRNA from 1 species
AAAAAAAAUGUCGGGAGGGGAAGAUGACUUAACCUGUGAAACCGCGCUGGUCAUACAAACACAUUUUCCAAGGCUGCUCUCUGUCCUUCUCAACCAACCCUCGGAUUUUAUCACUAGACUAAGAGAAUGGAGAUUUUUAUUGAGGGCAAAUUUAUUGAGUUACUUCUGAGAAAUCAUCAGGGAACAAAGGACACAAAAGAAAGCGAAAGCUGCAGGUAAUAAUAACAAUUUCCGAGUAUUGACGAUGUAUUGGGAACUUAAAUAAUUUUACACUUAUUAACUGAUUAC